rnacentral:rRNA from 1 species
ACGAUGAUGCCCAGCUUGCUGGGCGGAUUAGUGGCGAACGGGUGAGUAAUACGUGAGUAACCUGCCCUUGACUCUGGGAUAAGCCUGGGAAACUGGGUCUAAUACUGGAUACUACCUCUUACCGCAUGGUGGGUGGUGGAAAGGGUUUUACUGGUUUUGGAUGGGCUCACGGCCUAUCAGCUUGUUGGUGGGGUAAUGGCUCACCAAGGCGACGACGGGUAGCCGGCCUGAGAGGGUGACCGGCCACACUGGGACUGAGACACGGCCCAGACUCCUACGGGAGGCAGCAGUGGGGAAUAUUGCACAAUGGGCGGAAGCCUGAUGCAGCGACGCCGCGUGAGGGAUGACGGCCUUCGGGUUGUAAACCUCUUUCAGUAGGGAAGAAGCGAGAGUGACGGUACCUGCAGAAGAAGCGCCGGCUAACUACGUGCCAGCAGCCGCGGUAAUACGUAGGGCGCAAGCGUUGUCCGGAAUUAUUGGGCGUAAAGAGCUCGUAGGCGGUUUGUCGCGUCUGCUGUGAAAGCCCGGGGCUCAACCCCGGGUCUGCAGUGGGUACGGGCAGACUAGAGUGCAGUAGGGGAGACUGGAAUUCCUGGUGUAGCGGUGAAAUGCGCAGAUAUCAGGAGGAACACCGAUGGCGAAGGCAGGUCUCUGGGCUGUUACUGACGCUGAGGAGCGAAAGCAUGGGGAGCGAACAGGAUUAGAUACCCUGGUAGUCCAUGCCGUAAACGUUGGGCACUAGGUGUGGGGGACAUUCCACGUUUUCCGCGCCGUAGCUAACGCAUUAAGUGCCCCGCCUGGGGAGUACGGCCGCAAGGCUAAAACUCAAAGGAAUUGACGGGGGCCCGCACAAGCGGCGGAGCAUGCGGAUUAAUUCGAUGCAACGCGAAGAACCUUACCAAGGCUUGACAUUCACCGGACCGCCCCAGAGAUGGGGUUUCCCUUCGGGGCUGGUGGACAGGUGGUGCAUGGUUGUCGUCAGCUCGUGUCGUGAGAUGUUGGGUUAAGUCCCGCAACGAGCGCAACCCUCGUUCUAUGUUGCCAGCACGUGAUGGUGGGGACUCAUAGGAGACUGCCGGGGUCAACUCGGAGGAAGGUGGGGAUGACGUCAAAUCAUCAUGCCCCUUAUGUCUUGGGCUUCACGCAUGCUACAAUGGCCGGUACAAAGGGUUGCGAUACUGUGAGGUGGAGCUAAUCCCAAAAAGCCGGUCUCAGUUCGGAUUGAGGUCUGCAACUCGACCUCAUGAAGUCGGAGUCGCUAGUAAUCGCAGAUCAGCAACGCUGCGGUGAAUACGUUCCCGGGCCUUGUACACACCGCCCGUCAAGUCACGAAAGUUGGUAACACCCGAAGCCGGUGGCCUAACCCCUUGUGGGAGGGAGCCGUCGAAGGUGGGACUGGCGAUUGGGACUAA